rnacentral:rRNA from 1 species
GUUAAGCGACUAAGCGUACACGGUGGAUGCCCUGGCAGUCAGAGGCGAUGAAGGACGUGCUAAUCUGCGAUAAGCGUCGGUAAGGUGAUAUGAACCGUUAUAACCGGCGAUUUCCGAAUGGGGAAACCCAGUGUGAUUCGUCACACUAUCAUUAACUGAAUCCAUAGGUUAAUGAGGCGAACCGGGGGAACUGAAACAUCUAAGUACCCCGAGGAAAAGAAAUCAACCGAGAUUCCCCCAGUAGCGGCGAGCGAACGGGGAGCAGCCCAGAGCCUGAAUCAGUGUGUGUGUUAGUGGAAGCGUCUGGAAAGGCGCGCGAUACAGGGUGACAGCCCCGUACACAAAAAUGCACAUGCUGUGAGCUCGAUGAGUAGGGCGGGACACGUGGUAUCCUGUCUGAAUAUGGGGGGACCAUCCUCCAAGGCUAAAUACUCCUGACUGACCGAUAGUGAACCAGUACCGUGAGGGAAAGGCGAAAAGAACCCCGGCGAGGGGAGUGAAAAAGAACCUGAAACCGUGUACGUACAAGCAGUGGGAGCAGGCUUAGGCGUGUGACUGCGUACCUUUUGUAUAAUGGGUCAGCGACUUAUAUUCUGUAGCAAGGUUAACCGAAUAGGGGAGCCGAAGGGAAACCGAGUCUUAACUGGGCGUUAAGUUGCAGGGUAUAGACCCGAAACCCGGUGAUCUAGCCAUGGGCAGGUUGAAGGUUGGGUAACACUAACUGGAGGACCGAACCGACUAAUGUUGAAAAAUUAGCGGAUGACUUGUGGCUGGGGGUGAAAGGCCAAUCAAACCGGGAGAUAGCUGGUUCUCCCCGAAAGCUAUUUAGGUAGCGCCUCGUGAAUUCAUCUCCGGGGGUAGAGCACUGUUUCGGCAAGGGGGUCAUCCCGACUUACCAACCCGAUGCAAACUGCGAAUACCGGAGAAUGUUAUCACGGGAGACACACGGCGGGUGCUAACGUCCGUCGUGAAGAGGGAAACAACCCAGACCGCCAGCUAAGGUCCCAAAGUCAUGGUUAAGUGGGAAACGAUGUGGGAAGGCCCAGACAGCCAGGAUGUUGGCUUAGAAGCAGCCAUCAUUUAAAGAAAGCGUAAUAGCUCACUGGUCGAGUCGGCCUGCGCGGAAGAUGUAACGGGGCUAAACCAUGCACCGAAGCUGCGGCAGCGACACUGUGUGUUGUUGGGUAGGGGAGCGUUCUGUAAGCCUGCGAAGGUGUGCUGUGAGGCAUGCUGGAGGUAUCAGAAGUGCGAAUGCUGACAUAAGUAACGAUAAAGCGGGUGAAAAGCCCGCUCGCCGGAAGACCAAGGGUUCCUGUCCAACGUUAAUCGGGGCAGGGUGAGUCGACCCCUAAGGCGAGGCCGAAAGGCGUAGUCGAUGGGAAACAGGUUAAUAUUCCUGUACUUGGUGUUACUGCGAAGGGGGGACGGAGAAGGCUAUGUUGGCCGGGCGACGGUUGUCCCGGUUUAAGCGUGUAGGCUGGUUUUCCAGGCAAAUCCGGAAAAUCAAGGCUGAGGCGUGAUGACGAGGCACUACGGUGCUGAAGCAACAAAUGCCCUGCUUCCAGGAAAAGCCUCUAAGCAUCAGGUAACAUCAAAUCGUACCCCAAACCGACACAGGUGGUCAGGUAGAGAAUACCAAGGCGCUUGAGAGAACUCGGGUGAAGGAACUAGGCAAAAUGGUGCCGUAACU